GGGGGUGUUCUGGAUUCGACAUGUGUAUCUGUGCGCGAAUUGCAUUCCGUAGGUUACGUCUACGUUAAAACGUUACAGUUUAUAUAACUGCAAACAAACAAAAUUCUUACGCAGUAGCUGCCUAAAAACCAGCUAGCGUGAUCCUGCUGAAUUUGCCUAAGGUUCAGAUUUUGGGUCUCAAAUUAAUUAGGCUACACUUAGUUACGCGGUCCGAAUAAUUAAGAGGAGCUUAGCAGACUCGUUGUUAAUGGUUAGCCCGGUGGUGCGGCGCGCAUUAAUGACUAAAUUUUAAAUAGUACUACUAUGAAUGUAGACGUUGGCGUGGCAGUACGCAUGGACAGGGGUUCAAUUCCCCUCACCUCCA
rnacentral:sRNA from 1 species